AUUAUCUUCUGCAAGCCAAUAAUGAAGAAAAAAAUGGAGGAAAGCAGUAGAAAGAAGAAUAUCAAAGGGCUAGGUGGAAAACAGAGAGAAAUAGGGGGAGGUUUGAGAUUCAAAAUUUGAAGGUGAUAGAAGAGGGCUAGAGAGAGAGCCUGUGUUAUUUUGAAUUUGAAAUUUGAAUUGAGGANNNNNNAGCGUGAUUUGUCUCUGAAUUGAGGAGGUUGCAUGUAAAAGGGAUGAGUGAGAACAAUUCAGAAUUUGCCUAAACAAUAUUACCCAAAAUGAAGAGAUGCUGAAAGGGACAAGACCCUUGUUGCUUCUGACCAGAUUCUUUCUUUUUUUCAUUUGUUUGGGCUUCUUGCAAUGGGCCUUGCAUUUUCGACCCACUUUUCUGGCCCUUUGAUCAUUUGUUCACACUUUUUUCCCUCCAUUAUCAAAUUUGAAAACAUUGCCUAAAUGAGGUUAAAAUUUUGUCUAAACAUGAAACUUGAAAUCCUAUGUGGACUUGCUUAGAGG
rnacentral:lncRNA from 1 species